rnacentral:lncRNA from 1 species
UUGGAGAUUCUGCGGGGGAAAGUCCCCCUACAUGGAACAAGCUGGGGUGGUUUCUCAAAAGAGCCACCAAGUGGAAAACAGGCUUUUGAAGUUGGCUGAACAUGCUGUAAUUAUGAAUCCAACCUUUAUUAGUACUUCAGAAAUGAGUUUUGUUACUUUAUUGAACUACUGUGCCAUUGAUUCUUAGUGUUUAUCCUCGUGAAUACAAAUUGCUCACUGUGUAUGGCAGCUUUACUUUUAAUCUCAGUGCAGGGGAGUGUAGCAAUGUGGUUGAUCAAACACAAAAGGCUAAAAAUUAAGAAUUUUUUGAGAUUUUUGAUUUACAAAAUUAUUUAAAUGUUCUUCUUUGUAAUUGAGAGGCUCUGUUGCUGCCUAAUGAAAUUACAUUGCUGCCUAAUCACAUUACAAAUCUGCAUGCAAAAAAAUAUUUGUACACAAGGUGGUGAUGUUAGCAACCAACUAUUUUUAUUCUUAACAACUCACAGUAAAUAACAACAUAUUGUUUUAUGUCUGAGACCUCCUAAGCUAACUUUGGAUGUUCAUAUAAAAACUCAGAUCAGAGAUAUCAGCAAGAAAAACUGUGAACUGAAGGUCUUCCUAAUAAACACAGAUAUCAAUGAAAAUAGGUGUUGAGCUUUAAAAAUAUCUUCAUAUCUUCCAGGGUUUCUCAUUUUCCUCUGACAUAAUUGUACCACGAGAAUCAUAGAAAAAACUUCAAAUACAAUGGUGGAAAGCGCAAGGUGUAUCAAAAAGCUACUGUUUGGCACACCCCAGGGAUGUGAAAUGUUCCUGAAGAAAUCCAAUGAUCAUGCAGUCAGUGCCUGGCAGGGACUGCAGUUAAAAGCUAGGGCUAGGAUUUGGAGGAUGUGUAGGCAAACGGAAGGAGAGCCGGGGGAAGAAAAACCGAAAUGGAUUCAUUCUCUGUCCUGGAUGGAGGAGGAGAAGAGAAGAGAAGAGAAGGGGAUGUGAAAGCUUCCUUCAACUGCCUGUCCGGUGAAAAGUGAUCAAACCCCCGGGGCUGAAGAGAACUCAAGAGUCCACGCGGACUUUCGCUUUAUCCUGCCAAUCAAACUGCUUACUAGACAACACCCUGAUCUGGCAUGGACAUGUAAGUAGCUGCAACAGAACUUUGACAUUCACGGUUCUUCCCCUCUCCCACCCCCCCGCUUCCCUGAGACCUUUUAAAAUCUGGAAAUAUACCCCCAUUUACCAAUGGCAAAUCUGAGGAUGAAACAUUACAUGUUGGGAAUGGCUUGUGGACGUCUGAGUUUUGCUCAAGUGAAAUUGUGC